rnacentral:tRNA from 1 species
GGGCCUGUGGUCGAAUGGUAAGACGUUACCUUCACAAGGUAAAGAUCAGGAGUUCGAUUCUCCUCAGGCCCA